ensembl:lncRNA
CCACAGUUCACCAUCAAAUAGAACCAACCAAUCUAGUCCAGUUUAUUACAUUUUAAAAAAAAAAGAGUCUGAAAACCAGUGUAAGAUCUGGACAAGACUUCUAAAGCUUAGAAUGUUUCUAGGAGCACAGUGGCUGCUAUAAUUGUGGUACUGAGUUUGACCUCUUCCCAGAGGUCAAACUCAGUACCCGGGCCAGGCCAGAAAGUUCUUGGUGACCAAGUAGCUAAAGGCCAAUCUACUACAGCUUCAGAAGUUCUCAGCAGAGAUGGGAGAAUCUUCAUGGUAGAGUGGUCAAAUGGAGGUCACUCCUGAUAUGGCAGACACUUAAAGGACCAAUGAGACAAAAAAAAAAUAACUUACUAAAUACAUAUCUUUUCAUUUUUUAUUUGGGGUCUGAACACUUUACAAACCCACUGUACAUGCAGCUAAACAGGACCUUCAGCUGUUUAGGAUGCAUGCGAAAAUCAACUGCAUAUAGCUUCCACUAAAAACAUACCAUUAAAAUUUCCCAUAUAUAGUAGACUGUAUAGGGCAACAUGCUGUAUUGUGUCACUGACUGUCACAUCUUUGAAGUCAAGCCCCAGUCAUUAAAUUCCACACCACAUUCAACCAUAUGAGCUGAAAAAUAUAGCAAACUAUGCUGCCCUCUAGUGUCAAACCUGCAGCAUGACCUACAGCAUCACCAGCAAGAUGGCCAGUGUUUUUAGUUUUCUGAACUUAUUCAGUAGAAACAGUUUCCCUUGGAGCCCAUAAAGUUGCCAUAAAACAGCAACUUUCAUAGAAUGAAGUGAUUUAUAAUUUGAAUAUACAAUAUAGAAUAUAGAAUAUAUAAUAUAACUGAUUGAAAAACAAAAGUAAAUGUGUUUGUAUGGAGACAAAAAAAGAAACGAGAAGGAAGAAAGAGCGAGAGAGAGACAGAGAGAUUAUUUGGUUUGCUUGUUGUCUGGGUUGGUUUGGCUUGUGUUGGUUUUGUUUAGUUUGGGUUGGUAUAGUUGGCUUGGGUUGGUUCUUUUAAGUUUGUUAGUUUGGAUUGGUUUGCAGGGAUGGUUGAGUUGGAGGGUUUGCUGGGUUGGUUGUUUGGUUUGGGUUAGUUUGGUUGGUUGGUUUGCUUGUUUGAUUUGGUUGGAUUGGGUUUGUUUGAUUGGAUUGGUUGGCUUGGGCUGGUUUAAUUGGGUUGUUUUGGGUGGUUUGCUGUUUAAGUUGGUUAUGUUUGGGUUUGUUCUCUGGUUGUAUUGGUUUGUUUGUAUUCAUUCGGUUAGUUGGGAAUUGAUUUGUUUGGUGGGUUGUUUACACUGUUUAUUGGUCUGUUAUUUUUGUUUGUUUGCUUGGUUGAUGUGUUAGAUUUGCUUGGGUUGGUUGCUUUAUGUUGGUUUGGUUGUUUGGGAUGGUUGAGUUGGUUGGUUGUUGAUUUUUUCCAUUGGUUGAUUUGUUUGUAGUUUCAAUUGUUGGCGAGCUGGUUUGUGAUGUUUGAGAUGGUUCAAGAUUCAAGAACGUAAUAAUGCUGUGAUGCACUUUUUAUUUUUUUUUAAAAGACAGUGCACACAAUGUGUGUAUUUAUAUUACCUGUGCAUAAUUGAAGAGGCCAACAGAGACUACUUUUGUUUGAGAAAACUGAAGAACCUCCCUUGUGCCAAAUUAUCCUCACUAUCUAAAUAUCAAGUGCUUUGCCUUUAUAACCAGCCAUGGCUCUACAGGUCUACCAUUUUGCACAGCUGAUCCAGUAGUUUGAGGUCUUGUACAAAGUAAUGCAAUGCUGGAUGUAGUCAAGUAGAAACAGAUUACAGUUCAAACCAAACUUUGCAGCAAGGUAGAUCUCACAGAGUUAACCAAUCAUUUUACAGCAUCAGUUCUCUUCAAGUACUUUUUGUGAAAACCUGUAAACAAUGAAAUCCUGUUUGGUGCUGGCUGCUGGUUGUGUUCUGAAUGACCGUCCCACCUAGACUGGAUUUCACAGGAGGAGGAAAAAAAGCCUGG